ACAUUUAAAUAUCCACUUUGGAUAUCAUCCCUAUUUCUGUGUGCUUAUAUCAGUGUCUCGUGUCUUAUUGCUGUGGGAUACUUUGAACAUUUAGCGUGAUCUACCACAACUUGUACAGCAUCGGACACUUCCACCGACAGGGAAUCAAGGAUACCGGAAGUUGUUACAAAGACAGAAUCCGAUCUUUGGAGGAACCGUUUUGUGAGAAGGGGGCGUUCCCCAGACUGGUUCAUCAGAUCACUGUUAUGGGGAGGAAAACAGCUCGGUUCUUCACCGUCUCAAUAAUCAUCUAAUUGUUUACCUGUCUUAAUCAAGGAUAAACUAGUAUAUCAGAUUCAACUCGAGUUUAUUUGCUAUGAGCUCAGCCAAACGACCAAACGGUCGCGCUUCCGGUCCUCCAGUAGGUGGCGCGCGGAAUGGUCCGGAAGGAAAGUCCAAGCAGAUCAAACUAGUUCUUCUGGGGGAAUCCGGAGUAGGAAAAAGUAGUAUAGCCUUAAGAUUUGUGCGAGGGGAGUUCAACGAGAAUGGAGAAGCUACAAUUGGAGCUGCAUAUUUGACAAAAACGAUAAACGUACAGAACUCUACCGCCAUUAAAUUUGAUAUCUGGGACACGGCGGGACAGGAGAGGUACCACAGUCUGGCACCGAUGUAUUACCGGGGGGCCCCGGCCGCCGUGGUCGUCUAUGACAUCACCAGUCAGGUGUCCUUUAAGGAGGCACAACGGUGGACAAGGGAGAUAAUCGACUUUGGAGGCUCGUGUAGUUACAUUAUUCUGCUGGGGAAUAAGUCAGACCUAUCUAAUGACUUGAGAGCGGUGCCCUACGAGGUAUGACUCUAUACUUCCCCUCGGAAGCUAGUGUCGCGAUCCUUUGCCGAGACCCGGGUAUGAUGCAUGAUGCCACUUUACAGUCAAGCAUGUUCGAGUGGUGAAGCGUCAUAAUUGGCCUUAGAUUCAACGUGAAAUAUUUUUACAUAUAAGGACGGCAAGGAGUUUGCCAGUAAUAAUGGACUAAUGUUUACGGAGGUUUCCGCUAAAACAGGAAUGAAUGUAGACGAUGUCUUCACUAAUUUAGCCGCCAAAAUAGCUGCUCAGUCUUCCCCCGAAUCGAAUUCUACCACCGUCCGACCCACGAACGUGGAGAGGACAGAGAAAGGGGGGUGUGCCUGUUGAAGGGGAAACCAGCAACACGUGAUAUUGUGAACAAAGGAUUAUAAACCGGCAUUGAUCGAUUUGUGAUAAUCAAACUCUGACACUCGUUAAAUGUGCAGGGGAGCUUCUGCAUGUUCCAUUCACCUUGAACACGUGAAAUUAAUCUUACUUCAGUUACUUGUAAGAAUUCUGACUACCUUUACCUGUGAUAUAAUAAUGCAAAUGUCACCUUGUGUUUUGUGUAUAUGUAUGAUAAAAUGAGAAAAUAG
rnacentral:misc_RNA from 1 species